UUUAAGUGCAACCAUGAUUUUUCGUGCCCAACUUUAAUUGUCCAUCUUAUUUGAAAAAAAUUUUCAAAAAAUUGAAAAACAUAAGUCACGAGUAAAGUAUUGUUCAUGUUUUAUCAUCUCAUAACAACAAAAAUAAUAAUUAUAAAAAAAAUUCAAAUAAGAUGGACGAUCAAAGUUGGACACAGAAAUUUAUGGUUGUACUUAAA
rfam:Oryza sativa Japonica Group DNA, chromosome 1, cultivar: Nipponbare, complete sequence.